rnacentral:rRNA from 1 species
GACAGAGGAUGCAAGCGUUAUCCGGAAUGAUUGGGCGUAAAGCGUCUGUAGGUGGCUUUUCAAGUCCGCCGUCAAAUCCCAGGGCUCAACCCUGGACAGGCGGUGGAAACUACCAAGCUGGAGUACGGUAGGGGUAGAGGGAAUUUUUCCGGUGGAGCGGUGAAAUGCAUUGAGAUCGGAAAGAACACCAACGGCGAAAGCACUCUGCUGGGCCGACACUGACACUGAGAGACGAAAGCUAGGGGGAGCAAAUGGG